rnacentral:lncRNA from 1 species
GUAGAUUUGAAGUUGUGCCCGUAGUUUGUUUUACCCCAAACACUAAAGAAUUCAGUGUUCUUGAAGGAGCUACUGGAGCUGUCUUUGGCAUUUAAUGACAGUUUCACAAUGUGAUUAGGUUGUACCUCAUAUCUGAAGAGAGCUCAGCCUGUACAUCCUGGGCAACUUUGUAGCCCCUGCUUCUUUGAACUGAUGUAUAUUGCUUUGUGUCUGAACAUUAAUCCAGGCCUUUUCUUUUAUUUCUAGCCCACUGCUUAUGAAAAGACUCCUGUGCCCAGUAAGAAGGAAAAUAUAGACAACUUUGACACGAGUUUUACAAGUUCUGUAGGUAGCAGACUCCCUCCAGUUGAGCUCAAGGGAGAAGUAGAGAAACCACCUGUGACGUCAA